GUGCUCACUUCAGCAGCACAUAUAGUAAACUUGGAACAAUACAGAGAAGAUUAGCAUGGUCCCUGCGCAAGGAUGACAUGCAAAUUCAUGAAGCAUUCCACAUUUUU
ensembl:snRNA U6 U6 spliceosomal RNA